UAGGGAAUCUUCCGCAAUGGGCGAAAGCUUGACGGAGCAACGCCGCGUGAGUGAUGAAGGUCUUCGGAUCGUAAAACUCUGUUAUUAGGGAAGAACAAAUGUGUAAGUAACUAUGCACGUCUUGACGGUACCUAAUCAGAAAGCCACGGCUAACUACGUGCCAGCAGCCGCGGUAAUACGUAGGUGGCAAGCGUUAUCCGGAAUUAUUGGGCGUAAAGCGCGCGUAGGCGGUUUUUUAAGUCUGAUGUGAAAGCCCACGGCUCAACCGUGGAGGGUCAUUGGAAACUGGAAAACUUGAGUGCAGAAGAGGAAGGUGGAAUUCCAUGUGGAGCGGUGAAAUGCGCAGAGAUAUGGAGGAACACCAGUGGCGAAGGCGACUUUCUGGUCUUUAACUGACGCUGAUGUGCGAAAGCGUGGGGAUCAAACAGG
rnacentral:rRNA from 1 species